GGCAAGCGAGUUUCUACCAUUCAUCUGGCCAGAAAGGCCAAGCGAGUUUCUACCAUUCAUCUGACCAGAAAGGUCAAGUGGGUUUCUGCCACUCAUCUGACCAGAAAGGUCAAAUGAGCUUCUACCAUUCAUCUGGCCAGAAAGGUCAAGUGGGUUUCUUUCACUUAUCUGACCAGAAAGGUCAAGUGAGUUUCUACCACUGCCUGGCCAGAAAGGUCAAAAGAGUUUCUACCAUUCAUCUGGCCAGAAAGGCCAAGCGAGUUUCUACCACUCAUCUGGCCAGAAAGGUCAAGUGGGAUUCUACCACUCAUCUGGCCAGAAAGGUCAAGUGAGUUUCUACCACUCAUCUGGCCAGAAAGGUCAAGUGAGUUUCUACCACUCAUCUGGCCAGAAAGGUCAAGUGGGUUUCUACCACUCAUCUGACCAGAAAGGUCAAGUGAGUUUCUACCACUCAUCUGACCAGAAAGGUCAAGUGAGUUUCUACCACUCAUCUGACCAGAAAGGUCAAGUGGGUUUCUACCACUCAUCUGGCCAGAAAGGUCAAGUGAGUUUCUACCACUCAUCUGGCCAGAAAGGUCAAGUGAGUUUCUACCACUCAUCUGACCAGAAAGGUCAAGUGAGUUUCUACCACUCAUCUGGCCAGAAAGGUCAAGCGAGUUUCUACCACUCAUCUGACCAGAAAUGUCAAGUGAGUUUCUACCAUUCAUCUGGCCAGAAAGGUCAAGUGGGAUUCUACCACACACAGGACAGUUGAGGUCGAGUGAGCUACAUCUCUGUUGAGCUGAAAGUAGUUGAUGAUUAUGAGGCACCACAUGUUUCACAGCUCAUUGUCAGGAAAAGCAGUUCCCAAAAUGUUCCCAUACAAGAUAAGUCCAUUAGCAAAUAAGCUGGGUGUGAACGGUUGUUAUCCCCCGCAACGCGUUUUACGGGGGGGUAUUAAAAUAGACUCCAUCCGUGCGUGCCUCCAUGCACUUUUGUCUUUUCCAGAGCAGAACUCUAAAACCGUUCAAUAUUUCUUCACCAAACUUGGCACAUACAUGGAUCUGAUGGUG